GAGUAUAGGUUCUACAACAGUGGUUAUCAGUCAGGGAUACACAUACCCCAGGGGGACGCAGAGGUCUUCCAGGAGGUACAUCAACUCAUCUAGAUAUUUGUCGAGUUUUAUAACAGGCUACAUAAAAAGCACUAGCGAAGUCAGUACAAACUAAAAUUUAAUAA